rnacentral:rRNA from 1 species
UACGUAGGGACCAAGCGUUGUUCGGAUUUACUGGGCGUAAAGGGCUCGUAGGUGGUCAACUAAGUCGGACGUGAAAUCCCUCGGCUUAACCGGGGAACUGCGUCCGAUACUGGAUGACUUGAGUUCGGGAGAGGGAUGCGGAAUUCCAGGUGUAGCGGUGAAAUGCGUAGAUAUCUGGAGGAACACCGGUGGCGAAGGCGGCAUCCUGGACCGACACUGACGCUGAGGAGCGAAAGCCAGGGGAGCAAACGGG